rnacentral:rRNA from 1 species
UGGGUGCUCGAGUGGCGAACGGGUGAGUAUUACGUGAGUAACCUGCCCUCAACUGUGGGAUAAGCCUGGGAAACUGGGUCUAAUACUGCAUAUUCUUCUUUCACCGCAUGGUGGGGGUUGGAAAGUUUUUUCGGUUGGGGAUGGGCUCGCGGCCUAUCAGCUUGUUGGUGGGGUGAUGGCCUACCAAGGCGGUGACGGGUAGCCGGCCUGAGAGGGUGGUCGGCCACAUUGGGACUGAGAUACGGCCCAGACUCCUACGGGAGGCAGCAGUGGGGGAUAUUGCACAAUGGGCGCAAGCCUGAUGCAGCGACGCCGCGUGAGGGAUGAAGGCUUUCGGGUUGUAAACCUCUUUCGGUACAGAACAAGGCACGUUUUUUGCGUGUGGAGGGUAUGUGCAGAAGAAGCGCCGGCUAACUACGUGCCAGCAGCCGCGGUAAUACGUAGGGCGCGAGCGUUGUCCGGAAUUAUUGGGCGUAAAGGGCUCGUAGGCGGCUUGUUGCGCCUGCUGUGAAAACGCGGGGCUUAACUCCGCGCGUGCAGUGGGUACGGGCAGGCUUGAGUGUGGUAGGGGUGACUGGAAUUCCAGGUGUAGCGGUGGAAUGCGCAGAUAUCUGGAGGAACACCGAUGGCGAAGGCAGGUCACUGGGCCAUUACUGACGCUGAGGAGCGAAAGCGUGGGUAGCGAACAGGAUUAGAUACCCUGGUAGUCCACGCUGUAAACGUUGGGAACUAGGUGUGGGGCCCUUUUCCGGGGUUCUGCGCCGUAGCUAACGCAUUAAGUUCCCCGCCUGGGGAGUACGGCCGCAAGGCUAAAACUCAAAGGAAUUGACGGGGGCCCGCACAAGCGGCGGAGCAUGCGGAUUAAUUCGAUGCAACGCGAAGAACCUUACCAAGGCUUGACAUACACCGGGAGCAUGCAGAGAUGUGUGUGCCUUUUUGGCUGGUGUACAGGUGGUGCAUGGUUGUCGUCAGCUCGUGUCGUGAGAUGUUGGGUUAAGUCCCGCAACGAGCGCAACCCUUGUCUCGUGUUGCCAGCGCGUUAUGGUGGGGACUCACGAGAGACUGCCGGGGUUAACUCGGAGGAAGGUGGGGAUGACGUCAAAUCAUCAUGCCCCUUAUGUCUUGGGCUUCACGCAUGCUACAAUGGCCGGUACAGUGGGUUGCGAUACUGUGAGGUGGAGCGAAUCUCUGAAAGCCGGUCUCAGUUCGGAUC